rnacentral:rRNA from 1 species
GAGCACGUAGGUGGGUUUGUAAGUCAGAUGUGAAAGCCUUCUGUUCAACGGAAGAAUUGCAUCUGAAACUGCGAGUCUUGAGUGUAGGAGGGGAGAAUGGAACUUCUGGUGGAGCGGUGAAAUGUGUAGAUAUCAGAAGGAACGCCGGCGGCGAAAGCGAUUCUCUGGCCUAUUACUGACACUCAGUGUGCGAAAGCUAGGGGAGCAAACGGGAUUAGAUACCCCGGUAGUCCUAGCCGUAAACGAUGGGCACUAAGUAGAGGGGUUUU